CUGGCUACCGCUCCUCAUCUGCUUCCCUUUGAUGCGCCCACUGCAUAGCUCCACUGCUCGGCCCCAUCGGCACCACAAGGUGCGUUUCGCCGGCAUGCCCAGGAGCUCAAGGCUUGUCCGCAUGUCCCAGCGGCUCAAGGCUCGUUCGCACGUCCUAGCGGCAGCCCUGAAUCGCGCAGCUGCCUGGUGCGAGCGGCGGCGGCCGGCACGGCCCGCUACGGAGGCUUCGAUCUGAACCACAGCGCCUCGGAUCUACGAGCAGCGUGCAUGGAGGAGCGAUGCCGGCUGUGAUAUCACGGGAUUUGAAAUCCAUGUCCGUUUUCGAGCGGAUCCACAAUGGUGGUACACAUGGGGGCCGCCCUCCACACAUGCCUGCAGUCCAACUCUGUCCUCUCCUCGCAAUGCAGAUAUUUGAUUUGUUUCUAUUUCAUUUAGCUGAUUGUUCAAUACACAAAUGAGAUAUCUCAUUUGUUUCCAUUACAUUUAGCUGAUUAGUUGAUGACCUUGCAAUGUCUGUUUAAUCUGCAAUUUUUUCUAAAUGUUAAUGCUGAGUGAACAUUAGUCUGCAUGUUUCGAACCACAGUUGUUCUACUAAGCAGAUGUAAGCUAUGGGCCUAACAAUGAUGAAGUGUUAGCAUAAGUUUACCAUGCUAAUGCUGACACGAAAGCCUAGGUCAGGAUAUUGGCAAACAGACAGUUACUUCAGAGGUCAUGAGUUAGGAAGCUGCAGUACAUAUCGGAGCUUGAACAAAGUGUCACCGGUCUGCAGGAGAACAUUUCUAAUGUGUAUAGCUGCUAGUUGUAGUUAGGUGGUUAGAAGCCUAGAAUGUUUGUGCAUGGAACAUGUAUUCUGGAAUCGAUAUUGUAUGAGCUAGAAUAUUAUUUAUGGCUGGAAUAUAUUUUGUUGUA